UACGUAGGGCGCAAGCGUUGUCCGGAAUUAUUGGGCGUAAAGAGCUCGUAGGCGGCCUGUCGCGUCCGCUGUGAAAUCCCGGGGCUUAACCCCGGGCGUGCAGUGGAUACGGGCUGGCUGGAGGCAGGCAGGGGAGAACGGAAUUCCCGGUGUAGCGGUGAAAUGCGCAGAUAUCGGGAGGAACACCGGUGGCGAAGGCGGGUCUCUGGGCAGUAACUGACGCUGAGGAGCGAAAGCGUGGGGAGCGAACAGG
rnacentral:rRNA from 1 species